AUUUUUCUAUCUAUGUAUAUUUGUAUCAAUGUGUAUUCAAAACGUGCAUUUCAUUAAUUUCAGUGAUUGUACACUUUUGUUUGUUUGUCAUUCAUUAGACCUUUAUUUAUGUUUUACUCAUUUCCUCAAAGGUUAACUGGAAGAGAUCCCAUACAGGGAUAAGUUCGCCUUUGUUGUAUUUAAUUUACUCUGUAACUGUGUUUUUCGUGUUUUUAUUUCUACGUACAAUAAAGUAUAUACAUACAUACAUACAUACAACUAUCUGUCUCACUAUGGCAAUAAUAUGCGCAAACGAUUGGCAUCUUGGCUAGGCACCUUGGGUGCUUAGCCAACACAAUUCAAGCUAUACAAUUCAUGGUGUGAUUUUCUGCAUAUGUUGCCAUAAGCGCAUGUUCUUUAUUUAUACCUGCAGUCAUUUACUAUCUCUUUCAUUUUCCAUUGCUGUGAAAGAGAUAAAAUACUUAAGAGGAAGAGUUAUAGGUUGGUAGAAAUAAUAAACAAAAUACUUAAUUCGCAAAACAAAACGUUCUAAGGAAUGGGCCUAAUGGGUAGUGACCCUGCCUAUGAAGCCGAUGGUCCUGGGGUCGAAUCCCGGUAAGGGCAUUUAUUUGUGUAAUGAGCACAUUUAUUUGUUCCUGAGUCGUGGAUGUUUUCUAUGUAUUUAAGUAUUUGUAUAUUAUACAUAAUUAUCGUUGUUUGAGUACCCACAACACAAGACUUCUUGACUUACCGUGGGACUCAAGUUAAUUUGUGUAAGAAUGUUCCUAUACUAUUUCUUUAAUGGCACUUAAGACCUCAAUUUCCAACAUUUUGAACAUUUUCCAAAAAAAAUAACUAUAGAAAAAUUAUAUCUAACUACUGAUCAUGCUCACAAAAUUUCACGAGACUCAGUUGAGAAUUGAGACCUGUAGAGGAGAACAUCCGGACAUACGAAAUCAGAUUGCCUGAGUCAAAACGGAGACCGUCGCUAACGUUUCGGUCUUAAUUAAUUUCCAAACAGGUGCAAGACACAGAUAAACAGGUGAGAGAAAUAAAAAAAACCGGCCAAGUGCGAGUCGGACUCGCACAGGAAGGGUUCCGUACUAUUAUCUAUAAAAACGGUCACCCAUCCAAGUACUGACCCCGCCCGACGUUGCUUAACUUCGGUGAUUGGCUGAGAACCUCGAGAUUGGAAAUAAAUAUUUAUUUUAUUCUGUUUUUAGUAUUUUUUGUUAUGGCGGCAAGAGAAAUAUAUCAUCUGUGAAAAUUUCAAGUGUCUAACUAUCACGGUUCAUGAGAUACAGCCUGGUGACAGACGGACGGACGGACGGGCAGCGGAGUCUUAGUAAUAGGGUCCCGUUUUACCUUUUAGGUACGAAACCUUAAUAAACCGAAAAAGUGAUAACCUCUGUUUAGAAUGUGGUUAAAACAACGCUCCUUCUACAGUCGGAUAUUUUUUUUUACAUAUAUUUAUCAUCAAGAACAUUUUGUUACAAAAAAGAAUAACUUCUGGAUCAAUAAACAUCUUUUAACUUUUUGCUCAUGUACAAGUCAGGAUUCGAACCCACGACCACAUUGGUAUUGGUACGGCAUAGUAACCUCUACAUCUAGUAACCUACCACUCGGGCAAUAUAAAGGCGUAAAUAGGUACGUCGCUAUUCGACAAUAGAUGGCGUUGCGUAACAAUUCCAAAAACAAUAGAUGGCGCUAGUUUGUGAUUAUUGACAAUCAAAUAGAUCUUAGCAGUGACAGCUACUGUGCUUUUUCCGAUUUAAUUAAGCGAAGUUUUUAAUCAAACCGAUUUAUGGGACUAUUAAUUUACAACUAAUUAAGAUGUUAUUUGUUCGUCAUCUUUAUAUCUGUGGGUGGAACCUGGAACACUCGUGUUAUCGGAUGUUUUUUGUGCAACAGUGACAGUGUUUUGUUUGUUUACUUUCAUGUAGCUUGUUUUUGAAACGCAAUGUUUCAUUUGAAUUGUCAUUCGCUAAACUAAUUAAGAACAUAGAAAAGAGAAUGGUUAAUUAUAACGUCAGAUAAAAAUCGGCCAUGAGAUUUCAACAAAAUAAGAAGCGCAGAGGAGGAGUCCCCCGCCGUUGCGUGGGGAUGCUCCACGAUGCAUCCUUGAAGUGCCCUCUUGCCUGGCACGCACACUGAAGCCAUGUACCUGCAACUCAAUCACGUUUCAUGGAAGAAAAGGAAUAAAAGCCACUGCCAGCAAAUUGAUGAGGUACCGAAGGAGGUGCAUCUCAGGCUCUCGUCGCUGCUGAGCUUCGAGGUUGUCGCUGUGGCGUUCACACGGUUUGUCAUACGACAAGGUGCAUUGCCCUUGGUCGUAUCAAUACAGGUACAAGGUCAAAUUUCAUUUUUUAUUCAUUUAAUUAUUGCUCAUUGUUACUUUCAAGCCAGAAUGUCCAUGGCAGAACACUAGUAUUUUUUUUUUUAUAUGUUAUAAAGUCACGUUUUCAACUCAACUCACAUUCCAAACUAUAGUCAAAUGAUAUUGUAAUCAAUUAGAAUAAUUUCAAUAAUUUCAAUGUAAACAUGUUAUGUUUUGCUUAUCAACAUGUCACUCAUUCCUGAGCAUAGAGGCUAUGUUAAUUAAUGACUAAAGGGUGCAGAAUGUAUUGUCAAUUUAGUCAAUUGGAAUUCAGAGUGGUAAGAUUGACCGUCUCAUUGUCAACUUGGGCAACUUGUGUGUAUUAGCUAUAGAAUAUAGCAACUUGUAAGGAAUAGUUCAUAAGUCAUAUCUUUUGUAUUGCCCAUGUUUAUUCAAUGUUCAAGUAUAUUCUUUACUAUAGGGUAGAUAAAGUUUAUUGUACCAUUGUGUGUGAUCAUUACUAGGUACUGAUUACUCUUUAAUAUUAUAAGACAUUAUUUUAUAAGACUUUAAUAUUAUAAGACAUAAUAUUUGGUCAUGUGAUCAUCACUAUUAUUUAUCAAAAGUUAAGGGAUAACUUCUUGAUAAAGACUCAUAUUCAUCGCUCAACUCUAGGGGCCGCCCCGCAGGAAUGUUCAUGCCAAAUGGCCUAGAAUCCAAGGCUCAAUGUAAUUAAAAACAUUCGAGACUGAACUGCAACUGGAGUGGUCAGUCCUUCAUUCAUUCAUUAAUUUCAUUCGAUGCCCUGUGACAUUGGUUCGUCCUUGGCAUCGCCCCUGUUCAAAUCGGAUGCUCGACGCGAGCGCACGUGCGCAUGAAGCGCACCCCUGUCUGUUCAAAUCCGACACUCGACGCGAGUGCACGCGCCCGGGGCGCGCAGGUGGAACGCUGGUAGGUCAACCAGCGGUCAUCGUUGUCGUAUACUAAAACCGUGGCGGUCCGUACAGUAGAGCGAACUAGAUUACGUUAGGUACGUGUUAGCUUGUAAUACCUAUAAAUAAAUGCAAUCAGUUUGGUAAACGAAAUACAUAAUCACUUAGUCAAGACUUAGUUUCAUUCGAAGUGUCCACGUGCUUAACCCAACCUAGGCAGGUUAUCGCAUCAUCAGCAGCCGCACGGGGCGGCUAUACUACACACGGCUGGCCUGGGCGCCGGCGCCGCCAUCAGAUAGCUUAUGAAUUAGGGCAUAAAUUUCAAGCAUAGGUAAAUGUUACAGAGAAUUUUACACAAAUACUGAAGAAUUAAUAACGAAGAUAAAAAUUGUCUUCAAAAAUUUACUUUUUUUUCACAUUUUAUCUUUUUUUUUUCCUUAAAUGACAUUACAGGAUAUCAGCUAAAAGCUGACAUCAAAAUAAUAGCCCUAGUUAAGAGGCCUUAUUCCUACAGACGAGCGUAUUUUGUAAAAUCCUUCCUUUUCAUUCAAGAUUACGACGUAACUAUUAGUAUUUAUUCAAAAACCGGCCAAGAGCAUGUCGGGCCACGCUCAGUGUAGGGUUCCGUAGUUACUCUUCCAUCACAAUAAGCUAAACUGGAGCUCAGGAUGAAACGGUACCUUUCACCCGAGUUAAACAAAUAGGCAAAUUUGCAUAAUCAGUACCUAAUUAAAGUAAGUCUUUUUACUAUGAAGGGAAAACUUUUUGCGAUAACUCAAAAACAGCUAAACUGACCAUGUCCGCUAUAGUUUUCAUUUAAUGUCUUUCUUAAGUUCUACUUCCACGAUUUUUUUCAUAUUUUUUGGACCUAUGGUUCAAAAGUUAGAGGGGGGGGGGACACAUUUAUUUUUUCUUUCGGAGCGAUUAUCUCCCAAUAUAUUCACUUUAUCAAAAAAUGUUUCUUGAAAACCCCUAUUAGUUUUGAAAGACCUUUCCAACGAUACCCCACUCUCUAGGGUUAAAGCGAAAAAAAAAUUUCACCCCCACUUUACGUGUAGGGGAGGUACACUAAAAAAAAAAAAUUUUUUAGAUUUUAUUGUACGACUUUGUCGGCUUUAUUGAUUUAUAUAUCCAUGCCAAAUUUCAGCUUUCUAGCACUAACGACCACGGAGCAAAGCCUCGGACAGACAGACAGACAGACAGACAGACGGACAUGGCGAAACUAUAAGGGUUCCUAGUUGACUACGGAACCCUAA